AAAAACAAAAAACAAAACACUCCCUAUUCUAAAAGCUGAAAUGUAUAUAUAGUUGAAAAAAGAAAAAGUGGGGCUAAAAUACAGGUCGAAAGAACACUGUGUGAAGAUGGUGCUUCCAGCGGGGCUGGGAGAAAUCUACGAUGAAGUGGAGGGUCUCAGCUUAAGUGGGACGACAGAAAGGUCCAUCACUUUCCUUGACCUUGGUGACAUGGUGAGGGAGCACUAACAGGGGAGUCAGGAAGAUGAGGGCUCCAAUCUUGCUCUCCCUUAGCAGCUGGGUGAGCCUGGGCAAGCCGUUUGACUUCUCUGACAAGUGAGUACUGGGCUUCCCCGGUGGCGCAGUGGUUGAGCGUCCGCCUGCCGAUGCAGGGAACGCGGGUUCGUGCCCCGGUGCGGGAGGAUCCCACAUGCCGCGGAGCGGCUGGGCCCGUGAGCCAUGGCCGCUGAGCCUGCGCGUCCGGAGCCUGUGCUCCGCAGCGGGAGAGGCCACAACAGUGAGAGGCCCGCGUACCGCAAAAAAAAAAAAGUAAGUACUAAUUUUCACAGGAGGUGUCCCGGUGCCAGGGCUGACGUGUGUAAAGGAAGCAGCCGGCGCCACGCCUCGCUCAAAGUACCCACUCAAUAAACAGACCGGUAGUAAGGAAGGAGCAGCCGUUACGCCAGCAGCGUAUCACAGCCUCCUUGCCUGUGAAGGUAGCCCCUGGUUUCUUCGAAUCAUCGAGUCUUUUAAUGUGCCUCGUUCUGAUUUAAGCUAAUGACUCCUGCUUGAAUAUCACUCAGCAAGGAGGUGGCCAGCACCCCUCUGGGGACCCUCAGCUGGACACCGUCCUCCAGGGUGGAAGAGGGCUGGAGUUACAGUGGGCAGGGAGAGAAGGUGUCUUGGGAGAAAUCUGUCUUGAGUGAAGAGCUGCCCCCCUGCCUGAAGCUGGGCAACGAGAAGACCCCUUGGGGGCUUGGUCAGGUCCCUGGACUCACAGGGAGGGUGGACCAGACUCUGCCCUUGUGCUUCAAAGCGUCUCUGGCAGAAGGCUGGCUGGGGGGUCCUGGGCAGCAGUGACUGUCCCCACGGACAGCGUGGGCACGAGGGGCGUGAGGAUGUUAGAGAGUGUCCUGUGGACUGGACGUGGGCCCUUGGGAGGGAGCCAGCCAGGAGUGAAGAGCCCCUGUGUGUUACUAUCAGCGACAGAUGCUCAGCGGGGUCUGAGUGGGAUGUUUUCAUUACACCAGGGCCCCAAACCCACGAAAGCAGCUCAAGAGGGUCAGCUUCAGAUACAAGCCCAGCUGGGAGCCCACUUUCCCCUCCCCCAGCCCUGGAGGGUCCAACGGCCUAGAGACGGGUGGGCAGAGGGAGGGGAGGAACCCAGGAAAUGAGAGAAGGCAGAGGCAGGGGUUAGGGUUAGGGAAAUCUCACAGGGGACCGGACGCUUUAAUUAUCCUCAUGAGACCAUGCUUUUGUGACUCAGCAGGGCUGGGAAAGCUUUUCUUCUGACAGUGACCAGAAAGUCAUGGGGCCUCUGCCCUAGAAUUCCCCGGGGGGCUGGGAAGAGCCAGUCCCAGACAUUGGUGGGUGGUAAACGGGCUCCUGGAACCAAACAAAUCGGACCUGAUUUACAGCGUUUGCUGACGGCUGAGGUGUAAAUUCUUCCACCCCUGCCAAGUUCAAGGUCCCAGUGUGACGUCACCGAACGCAGAGCUGGGAAGAGACACAGACAGUUGGCUCUUGUGAGUUGGUGUGAGCAGGUGUGAGCCAGCUCCCGCACGCCCAGAGCCGUCUCCUCAACUUCAUCUUAUUUUCGCUAAAAUGCAAAUUGGGAAAGCAGUGAAACCUAGCAGUGCAUCCUCUGUGUUGAUGUCAUGUGAGUAGAUGCUUGGAGGUGACUUUCCGUCACCCUCCUGCUGCCCCACAAAAAGGGGCGGUGGGGAGGGGGGAAUGUGUCCUUGGAAAGUCUCUGCAGCUGUGCGGCCGUGGGCGUGUCUCCUGACCUCUGUGGGGUCACGUGCCCCCUGCCUUGUUUCCUCUCUCCUUCCCUUUCUCUGCUCCUCAAAGGGCUACAGGGCGAGCAGACCCCAGGCGCCACGAGCCGGUGCUGCCUUGUGGUGGCGUCAUCUUCCCCGUGAUGAGCGGGACGAGAAGGACGGAGCCUGAGUGACAGAAGCUUGCUGGGUGGCUGAGUUAGCAGCGGUGUGGGAAGCCGGGACCAGGCGUCACCAGGAGUGACGUCAUCACAGUGAGCUCAGCAAAAGCGGCAAAGCUUCCAUCCUUGGAAGCGCCAAGACCACAGUCUUCUCGACCUCCCGUGGGGGUCCCGCUCCCUCCCCAUAGUGACAGAGCAGCACAGAGAUGGGGCUCAAUGUCUGCUGGGCCACAUCCUGGCCUCGGCCCGGAGCCCCUCUAGAUGGUACCCCCCUGAGGCCAGGAGCACAUGUGAGUCCCCUGGAUUACCCAAAAGGGCCCUGCACAUAGUAGGUCCUCAACAUCUAGGAACUGGGCCAAAAGGAGAUGGGGGAAAAUUCCCCAAAAGUUAACUCACUGGUGUUUCACCUGCUUUUCUCCUUCACUUGAGGAUUUUAAAACUUUUUAGAAGAUGAUUACGGCCAGGAACACCCAACCACGGGUCCAAGAGUGAAACAAUGAAAAGACAGGAGAGACAGAGCGUAGCCCCAAAACCUUAUAAAUAAAAGGGGCUGCGGGCCUUUCAUGAAAUAAGGAUGGUCUGCAGAGCCCUGGGCGCAAGGCUUACAAAUUGUCACUGGUCCACACGUCUGGAUCUCCUCGGCCACCGCCCUCUCUCCUCUGGAUUCCGGGAGCAGCCCUACGCUGCCUCCCCACCCUGGCUGCCGUAGCCAAUGCUGGUGGGAGCAUCACUUGUAGAGCGAUUUUGGAAAGUGUUGAGGCAUAAUCUACUAGAGCCCCAUCUGAGCACACCUUUGACUCAGCAAUUCCACUCCCAACAGAGAUGCUUUCACGUGUUCACCAAAAGCCCUGCACGGAACGCCCAGAGGAAGCAGCCCUGCUCUCCAUAGCCCUCAGUUCAGCCCGCCGCCUGCAGCAGGACCAUCAGGAACACGUGGAAUGAAAUGAAUGAGCUGUACGGCACAUGGGCUACAAGGACAUGGCUCACAGCACAUGCUGAGCCAAAGAAGCCAGGUGCUGGAGUGUUUGCUGCCCGCUUCCACUGUCCUGUAGGGACACCAGAGAGACACAGAAGAAAGGCCAUGUGAGGACACAGCAAGAAGGUGACUGUCUGCAAGCCAGGGAGGGAGCUCUCACCAGAACCCAGCCUUGCUGGACUUUGAUCUUGGACUUCCAACCUCCAGAACUGUGAGAAAUACAUUUCUACUGCUUAAGCCCCCCGGUCUAUGGUGUUUUGUUAUGGGAGCCUGAGCUGACUAAUUAGCAUAUGCUUAGGACGUGUGCACUUUUCUCUACAUAUGGUAUAUUCAAUUAAAACUUGACUUAAAAGGCAAAUCUGGUCCUAGCCCUCCUCUAUUUGCAAUUCUUCCCUGGCUUCUCAUGUGCUCUUAAGAGCAAGUCCAAAUUCAUAAUGUGGUCGUGAAGACAGCAUGAUUGAGCCCCUCUUGGCCUCUCUAGCCUUGGACCACUCUGCCACAGCUUCUCUGACUUUGUUUCAGUUGCUUGAACAUGCCAAACACUUACCUGCCUCAGGGCCUUUGUGCCUGCUCUUCCCACCACCUAAAACACUUUCUCUACCUUUUUGCAGAGCAAACUCCUCAUCCUUCAGGUUCCAGCUUAAGUUUGUUUUUUCCUUGGGAAAGGUUUUCCUGAUCCCAAGCUGGGUCAGAUUCCUCUAGUAUAAACUCUCAAAGCACCUUCCUUUUUCUUCAUUACACCCCUUCCAGUUGGAAAUAUAUGUAAUAUUGCUGCCUGUUUUCUGUCUUCCCCACUAGAUUGUGAACUCUUUGAGGCCAGGGGACAGUCUUGUUCUCUGGUGGGACCACAAUACCCAGUGUGAAUGAAAGGCUGGGUGGAUGGAUGGAGGGUUGGAUAGAUGGAUGGUUGGAUGGAAGGAUGGAGGGUUGGAUAGAUGGAUGGAUGGAUGGAUGAAUACAUGGACAAAUGGAUGGAUGGAUGGUUGGAUGGACAGAUGGUUGGAUAAAUUUAUGGACAAAUGGAUGGACGAGUAGAUACCAAUCCCAAUAAAAAUAUCUCCGGCAGGCAACAAUUCUGUUUACAACAGAAGCAUCUGUUGAAACUUUGAGGUGCACAAAUGAGUCAGCACUCUGUGCUCUGCUAAUUUUUAGGAAGUGAUCUAAGAAUACAUCUCUCAGCCUUUCAUCGAUGAGGCAAAUGGUGAACCUCUUUAAAUAUUUACGUUUUUAAAGUGCUAAAGUUUGGAAACACCUAAAAAAUACCCCUGUGAUGUACUGUCUACCUUAGGCCUUCCAGCAAUAUGGAAAGGGGAAAAGAAAUUUUUUCUUUGGAGAAUGGAUGAAGGACAUUUCCCCAGCACCAGAGUGGGGGAAGUGAGAAGAUUCUGGUUCCUGCACCCUAGGUGUGUGGGCAGUUGGCACGUGCCGGGGCGGUGGCUGCAGUGGGUGUCAGAAGCCCAUCAGUGCUCGUCUAUGAGCUGCAGGGUUAGACAUAGGUGGGGGUGUAUGGUGAGGUGCUGGGUGUCCCAAGGCCUGCGUAACUCUUCCAGGUCACCCCCUCGCCCACCCCCGGCUGAGCCCUGUGUCUUCCAGUUCUUCCAUCCCGCUCUCUCCCCUCCAGGUCUUUGCAUAUGCUGUUCCCUCCGCCUGGAGCACCCUUCCUGAGCCUUUCCACCUGAGUAACGCCUGCUCUUCUGGAGGUUGUCACUUCCUCCAGGAUGCCUUCCUGGGAUUCCCCCCAACACACUCCAUCAGAUUCUCCUCCCCCUGCUCACCCCGAGUGUCCCUGUCCCGGUACCUUCAACCCACAUUCACAGAGCAGACAGGUGUCACUAUUUGCAGACGGGUGUCGAGGCACUGGGAGUGGGUAGUGAGCAGGACAGCCCCCGCCCCCGGGAGCUUACAUCCCAGUGGAGGGAAUACUAAUACCCGCCAAGAACGCAGAGUGUAGCGAACCACAGCCAGACCAGCUGUGGACCCAGGAGGAGGGGAGGGGCCUCGCGCGGGUGGGUGGUGGCGGAGGUGGCUGAGGACGUGCAGCAGGACGUGGGCAGGAGGGACAGCGAGGACCAGGGCCCGAGGUGGGAGCGAGGGGCCUGUGCUGGAGGGACAGGCGAGGGGCCCGUGGGCCCCUCCUGAUCUACCCUGUUGUUGCUUGAGUGUCCGUCUGUCUGUCUGUCUCAUGACGGUUUCCUUGAGGCCCGCAGAGCAGCUUCUGGAAGGCGACUGGGGCUCAGCCAGGCACCGGCAGGGUCUUUGUGGGCCGUGCUGGCUGCCCGCCCUCACCUACAGAUGGAAGCCAGAGGGCCUUUUCCCCAGCUUGUCUGAUUCCCUUUCCCUUUCCCUCCCACGACCCUGCAGUGCAGCCGGUCCCCCGUGAUGACGGAGAAACUCAGACCUAGAGACAGAUAGCGCUAGCUUGGUCAGACGUAUCAGCGGCCCCCGCAGGAGGACCCGGGCAAAGCCUGCAGAGACCGCAAGCCUGCAGGCACCAAGAAGCAAUCUGGGCAAGUGGGCAGGAAGGGGGAGCAGUCGGGGUCCCCGGCUGUGUGGCUGAGACCAAAGCUCCGUGUUACGGGCUGAAUCGUGUCCCCUCAAAAUUCCUGCCUUGGAGUCCUGACCCCCGGCACCUCAGAGAGUGGCUGUGUCUGCAGCUGGGCUUUUAGAGAGGCGAUUAAGGUAAAAUGAGGUCACUAGGGUGGGGCCCUAGUCCAAUGUGACUGGUGUCCUUAUACAAAGAGGAGUUCAGGACACAGACACACACAGAGGGAUGGCCAUGUGAGGACACAGGGAGAAGUCGGCCGUCUACACGCCGAGGACAGAGGCCUCAGGAGGAACCAGCCCUGCCCACACCUGGAUCUCAGAUUCCAGCCUCCAGGACUGGGGACAGUCAAUCUGGCUGUUUAUGCUUUCCAGACUCUGGGACUUUGUCAUGGUGGCCCUGGCUGUCUAAUGCAUUUUCCUUUAAGGGGAAAAACAGACCUGACAUGCAAUCCUCCCUAACUUCUGUGACAUCCAAGGAAAAUCCGAAGGCUCAAAUCUUUGGACAGGAGCUGCAGAGGUUAUGCCCGGAUCUCCUUCUGGAAGGCCUGUGAGUGAGCAGGGGCUUUCUAACGUUCCGGGGAAGAUAAUAAUAAAAGCAGGAUUUAUGCCGUUUGCUUAUCUGCACUCACUUCGCAACCAACCCCCUCGAGGGGCGCCCUCCGACCCCACCUCACACCUGGGGACACUGGAGCACCGGGAGGGGUAACUGUCAGUCCCACUGCAGGAAGCAGACCCUGCCCCUUCCUUGGGUGCAGCCCAUGUCCCUUCUGAAGCCUCACUGGCAUCGGUGGAGACUUCUAGCAACUCUCCUGGCAGAGCUGUGGCUCUCCUGAGAAAGAGCUGCGUCCAGGGACGCUCAGAAAUCCCUCGGACAAAGUCCCUGCCCUGAGCGAGACCCGUCCCAUCAGUGGGUCCUGGCUUGUUGAGACUCAUGCUGGCUGUUCCGUAGGCCUUUGGUCCUUUGGUCCCCAAUUGGCGUGAAUUCUUCUGGGUGUUAAGAGAAGGAAAUAAUGAAACCUGCCAGGGCCAUGUCAUCAUUUCCAGACGUCUGGGUUGCGCGUGGGAAACGCCUGUGGCGUUUGGAUCCAAGAGGGCUGUCUGGGCGCCAGGGGCCCAUGGCUCACUGCCUGUGGAACGCGACCUCGUCUUGCUGGAGACUCUGUGGCUGGGCCACGCUCUCCCUCAAUGGUUUGAUCUUCCCUCACUGAGAUGUGCAGGACGUGGGAUGCUGAGUGCUGCAUUCACGUGGGCUUCCUGGAGGUGGUGUCUCGGCUCCUGGGCAGGGGAGACUGGGGGAGGUUCCACUACGGACAGUGACCUGACAGCGCUCAGGAGAGCACUUGGCACAGUCUCCCUUUGUAAGGUCUCUGUGGUCAUUACCUGCCACCAAAUCUGAAGGGCACUUGCUUCAUUCAAAGUUGGAAGAAAAGUGGGAGCAGCUUAAGGCGCAUAUCACUAAAGACGAAGGCAAAUGCCACACCCUUUAAAAAGAGCUAAUGGCUCACAAACAGGGUGAUGGUGGCAGAAAGACAGACACACAGACCCAUGGGGCGGAAUAGAGAAUACAGAAAUAACCCUUGCAUAUACGGUCAAACCAUCCUCGACAAGACCAUGUGGUUGAACCACUGAAUGCAAUGGAGCAAAGGACAAUCCUUUCAACAAAUGGGCUGGGAAAGCUGGAUCUCCACAUGCCAAAAAGUGAACCUGGACCC